GUGCCAGCCGCCGCGGUAAUACGUAGGGGUCGAGCGUUGUCCGGAGUUACUGGGCGUAAAGCGUGCGCAGGCGGCUCAUCGCGCUCGGCGUGAAAGCCCCCGGCUCAACCGGGGAGGGUCGUCGAGGACGGGUGAGCUUGAGGGUAUCAGGGGUUGGUGGAAUUCCCGGUGUAGUGGUGAAAUGCGUAGAGAUCGGGAGGAACACCCGUGGCGAAGGCGGCCAACUGGGAUACACCUGACGCUGAGGCACGAAGGCGUGGGGAGCGAACGGGAUUAGAAACCCGGUAGUCC
rnacentral:rRNA from 1 species